AAGUCGUAACAAGGCUUCCGUAGCUGAACCUGCGGAAGGAUCAUAUCAGAGAUUGCGAACUACGCGGGUUACAAGAGCAGGAUGAAGGUUCACGGGGGGGGUUAACGUUUGGAUACGUGUUAAUCAUAGCCCGGAAAGUUGUAGUGAUUCAGAGACCCCUGGCUACGGGCGAACAUUGGAACAGUUACAAUCGAGCGGUAGUUCUAUAGGCAAUGUUUCCCCAAGCAGUCAGUGUCGGAAAGUGUCAUUGAUUGUGCAAGGAUAGCGCUUCUACGAUUCCUGUAGACCGUACACUCGGGCAGGAGCUUUGCCAAAGGGUCCCCAUGCCCCCUAAUAACCCCACAGUUUAAUGUGAAGCUCAAUGUAAUACAUUGGGUAAAAAAACCGAACAACUGUUAACAAUGGAUAUCUUGGUUCUC
rnacentral:misc_RNA from 1 species